UGCCUAGCCACUCCUAUCCCUACCUCCUCGCAGUACUGGCCGGGCUACGAGUAACCUAAGGGAAGUUCUGGUAACCAACCGCGGUAGGAACUUUGGUUGUAUGCUGACAGGGAAAA
rnacentral:ribozyme from 1 species